rnacentral:rRNA from 1 species
UUAGCGAACUCGACGUAGUGAAGCAUUCAAGUUUCUGCCCUAUCAGCUUUCGAUGGUAGUGUA